UCGUCAUCUAAUUAGUGACGCGCAUGAAUGGAUUAACGAGAUUCCCACUGUCCCCUGCCUACUAUCUAGCGAAACCACAGCCAAGGGAACGGGCUUGGCGGAAUCAGCGGGGAAAGAAGACCCUGUUGAGCUUGACUCUAGUCUGACGUUGUGAAGAGACAUGAGAGGUGUAGAAUAAGUGGGAGCGCAAGCAACAGUGAAAAUACCACUACUUUUAUCGUUUCUUUACUUACUCGAUGAAGCGGAAGGCGGCCGAAAGGCCACACUUCUAGAUUUAAGCAGUUGCCCUCGUGGCAAUUGCGAUCCGCUUUGACGACAGCGUCAGGCGGGGAGUUUGACUGGGGCGGUACAUCUGUCAAAAAGUAACGCAGGUGUCCUAAGGCGAGCUCAGCGAGGACAGAAACCUCGCGUAGAGCAAAAGGGCAAAUGCUCGCUUGAUUUUGAUUUUCAGUACGAAUACAGACCGUGAAAGCGCGGCCUAUCGAUCCUUUUUGAUUUUACGAGUUUUAAGCAAGAGGU
rnacentral:rRNA from 1 species